rnacentral:rRNA from 1 species
CGGAGGGUGCAAGCGUUAUCCGGAUUCACUGGGUUUAAAGGGUGCGUAGGUGGGUUGGUAAGUCAGUGGUGAAAUCUCCGUGCUUAACAUGGAAACUGCCAUUGAUACUACUGGUCUUGAAUUUUCUGGAGGUAAGCGGAAUAUGUCAUGUAGCGGUGAAAUGCUUAGAUAUGACAUAGAACACCAAUUGCGAAGGCAGCUUACUACAGCGAUAUUGACACUGAGGCACGAAAGCGUGGGGAUCAAACAGGAUUAGAUACCCUGGUAGUCCACGCCCUAAACGAUGGAUACUCGACAUUUGCGAUACACAGUAAGUGUCUGAGCGAAAGCAUUAAGUAUCCCACCUGGGAAGUACGACCGCAAGGUUG